GCGUUCGUAACAUAGUGGCAAGUGUUGCGGACUCUUAAUCCGUAAACGCGAGUUCGAUUCUCGCCGAGCGCA
rnacentral:tRNA from 1 species